ensembl:lncRNA
UCAGGUUUAGAACCUGCGGUUCCCCCGGGUGAACGAGUGGAACUUUGUGGUUCUUCUGUUGACUUUGAUGAUGGACUGAAGUCCUUCACUGUGAUGUGGACUUUGUCCAGUACCCCCAUGACUUUUAGGAGGAAACAACAGUGAUCAUAGAUGCAGGACACGUGUGUUGGGGGCGGGGCUUUUAGAACAUGCAGAUGUUGGAUGAUCCGGGGUGGAGGACACGCCUCCAUCCUGAUGUCAUUUGUCAAACUGCAUCCACUGCUGCUGGCUGUAAUGAUGCUCGGAUCCUCCAGGAACAGCAUGAUCAUUCCAUGACCACCUCCUGCACCUCCUCACUGCCUGAAGCCAGCGAGCUCCACGCUCCACGACCCGGCAAAUCCGACCCAGAACCUGGAGGAGGACACCCUCAGAGGUCUGGUGCUGGAGAUGACAAGAGAGUCCUGGAGUUGAAGGAACAUCGGAUCACGACCGUGAGGUUCCGGCAUGAGGAGUCCACAGAACAGAACCACAGCAGACAAACCAACCGGACUCUGGGUUCUGGAGGGAGGUCUGAGUUCACCUGCCAACCAGGUCCGGUGGGAGGUCAUUAACCUUCUGCCUCUGAGGACCGCUGGACCUCGGCUCUCCUGAUUGGUCCCUGCGGUUCCUCUGUCUCUGAGGAUGGAAACUGGCUGAUGAGGUGACCUCCGACCCCAGAGAGUCCAGCCUCACCGGAACAGAAGGUUCUUCAUCACAUUCAGUGGUUCUGAUUGAACAGGAUCUGGACUCUUCCUGCUGGAGGACCGGUUCUUCAGAACUCGUGCUGACCCGUCUGAGCCUGAAACGGAACAUCUCCUCCUUACAGAACCGCCAGGAGAUCUCAGUUUUAUUUUGGAAAGGAAUGGACUUCCUGUCAGCAGGAUCUGCUCUGCACCUGCUGGGGUUUUUCAGAAUAAAAGCACAGAAUUCCUGGCCUGCAGGUAAAUGUCUGCACCGUUUGGUUGAACAGAUGCUCACUUCAAGUUCUCCAGUAACUUUCAGCUUCAACUGGACGCCGCAGUUUCUGUUUGCUGAGGUUAGAGCGGGUGGUGAUGCUGUCAUGGUGCGGGCCAGGUGCAUGAGGGCGUCUGCAGACGUCUGAUCGCAUGUCGGUUCUUCGUGGUCAUCAGCGUGAUCCUCGACGGCGAUCUAUGCAGAAGCCCCUCCCCCAUCCGCCUGGAUCCUCACUUUCCUGCAGAUGGUCUGAGAACGAGUCCAGAGACCAGAACCACGGAACCCAAAGUUCUGCUGAUCUGCCCGGCCCAGAGGCCUGUCCUUCAGACAGGAAGUCCUCAUCAGCAGACAGGAAGUGCAACAGCCAAUCAGGAUUUCUGCUUUUUUUACCUAAACUGACGGAGUCUGGAUUUCCAUGAAUCCGUUUCAACCUCCGCAGCCGUCGGCCACCAGAGGGCAGCAGCACGGCGGAACCAGCACUGCUGCUGACAUUACAUCACUUCCUGUGACAUCACAGGAAGUGUUCAGGUGUUCCUUUAACGCUGCAAACCAGAGGCCAACUUCUGCCUUCUAACUUUUGUUGAGGAUAAAUACUACAAAAAAAAAACAACAUCAUUAAUCUGGUAUUUUCAAAAUAAAACAACAAACAAGAAUCCAGUGUUUGUAACUUUAAUAGCAGCAUUAUCGUAUCAUUAGAGAGUCAUCACAUUUCAUGCAGAGCAGCUGGUUCCAGCAGAGAUCCUGUUGAGUUUCUGAAAUCCAGAUUUCUUUUAUUUUGAAAUCAAAGGUUCUACGUUUGUUUCCUGUACCGCUCUUUUCUGCAUAAAAAUGUUUAUUUUUUCUAGUUUGAGGAUGUUAGUUUCAAUGUUUUAAUAAUAGCAAAUGGACAAUGACUCAAGGUGAAACCGCCCCCCAGUGGUGAUCUGCUGAACUGACCUGGCUCCAGGUCGUUUGGUUUGAAACCAUCUUAAAGAAAGAGGAGGAGCUCCGCCUGGAUGGAGCAGGUCUUACCGGUCAGAUCUUCAUCUUCUGCUUCCAGUUUGACUAAAAGAAGAGGAUCUGACAGCCAGGCUUUUAUUCUGAAAAGCAGGAUUGAGUCUUCCUGCAGACUCUAUAUUUGUGGCACAAAGAAACCUUCAGGAGACUAGAGACCAGCUCUGGUCCUGCAGGACCUGAAUCAGAGUGGAUCCACCAUCUGCUCCAGAGUCUCAUGGAACCGGGUCCACUGGACCUCCUGGUCCGGGUCUGGACCUCCUGGUCCCGGUCUGGACCUCCUGGUCCCGGUCUGGACCUCCUGCUCUACCUCUCAGAUCGCAGCUUGUAGCGCAGGACAAAGUAAGCCAUGAGUCGCAGAGACAGGAAGAAGAUGGCGAGGAUGAGGAAGUCCAGGUAGAGUUUGGCGUCCAGCAUGUCCAGCUCCUUCAGGAUUGCGUCCGACUUCUGGAAGUGGCAGGUGUCGUUCUCAUCGCAGUGCAGGUCGGCCCGGUCCAGACCGUAGAUGGACAGGAUGACGCCCUCGAAGCCGUACCUGAAACGCAGCGGCAGGUUCAGCGGCGUGGGCAGACGGGGCGCUGCUGCGCACGCCGCCGGACGUCCAGAACUUCUGUGGGUCGGUGGAGGACCGGCCAGAACAAGAACUGGACCUUUCUGUGUGCUUCUGUCAAACGGCGCCCCCACCUGACAUAGGAGAUGUAGGAGAUCCACUGCAGGUACCAGGGGAUGGUGUCGAAGCUGACGAAGAACCCGGAGAACAGCAGGACCGGGAUGGCGGUGACCGGACCCACGAACGUGGCCACCUGCAGGAGAGAACCCGCCUGAGCCGGUCUGAGAGCCAACGGGAGCGUGGGGGGUGGGGGCGGGGGCAGACCUGCAGGGAGGUGGAGGCGGCGCCGAUCAGCAGGCCCAGACUCUGCGCCACCAGAGACGUCAGAACCCCCAGAGACAGGAAGAGGAAGAAGCGCGCGGCGUCCGGCGGCUGGGCCGUCAUCCAGUACACGAUGCUGCAGUACACCAGCGGGAACGCCACCUGCCCCCCCACACGCCAACACCACAUCUCAAUCGCGGUGCGUUCACUGACCCUCAGACGUCUGGAGCUCUUUGAUCUAAACCAGCUCCAGACUUUCACGCUUCACAUGAAAACCUGGAAUUCUCUUAAAUCCAGAUUCAAGACUCUGAAAAACAGAAACUUGUAUUUUGAUCAAAUAUAAGCUUUUAUUUUUAAACUGAAACAUAUUUUGAUCAUAUGUUUUGGAGUAAAAUAAGGAGUUCAAAUGCAAACAGUGGUGG